GUCCAUGCCGUAAACGGUGGGCGCUAGGUGUGAGUCCCUUCCACGGGGUUCGUGCCGUAGCUAACGCAUUAAGCGCCCCGCCUGGGGAGUACGGCCGCAAGGCUAAAACUCAAAGGAAUUGACGGGGGCCCGCACAAGCGGCGGAGCAUGUGGAUUAAUUCGAUGCAACGCGAAGAACCUUACCUGGGCUUGACAUACACCGGAUCGCUGCAGAGAUGUAGUUUCCCUUGUGGCUGGUGUACAGGUGGUGCAUGGUU
rnacentral:rRNA from 1 species